rnacentral:lncRNA from 1 species
CACGCUUCUGCUGUGCCCUUGGUGACAGUUACGAACUCUUGGACAGAGGAUUUUCGGAAAGGGAGGACGAGCUUAGGAUGAGAAUCACGCAUCCCAAAGGUUCCGUGGAUCCUGCACGGUGAUGGAACCUUGGAGCCCAAACGACAGAGCUCCUGUCCCUGGAGUCUGGGCUGGUGGAGAGGGCGUGCAGAGCAAAUAAGGGACUGGCCUGUCUCCAAGGGCCCUUCAGCCAUCAGGAGACACCAGGACCCUGAGAUCUGACUGUCCCUCUCUGUUAAGGAAGCAUCCACACAGCUCAGCCCACUGCCUGGUCCCAGGACGGAUGUCAGCAGAGUUCAGCAGAGAGCCGCUUGCUCAGGGCUUGGUGUGUGCGAGGCUCCUGGAGGGGACAAAGCGGGGGUCAAGAGACCCAGGCCGCAGCGUCAGGGAGGCAACCAGAGAGGCUCCUGGGAGGAGGCCUGAGGGCAACAACUGCCUGGAUGACAGCACAAAACGUGUCUCCCUUCCUCCAGAACCUGGGGUGGGCUACGCAGGCCCCACCCACACGACUGCAGGCACGGAGAACUGCCGCUGUGUGCAGGACACAGCGUAUAGAAGCCAGGACGAGGG